UGAUGCAGCCAUGCCGCGUGUGUGAAGAAGGCCUUCGGGUUGUUAAAGCACUUUCAGUAGGGAGGAAGGUAGUGUAGUUAACACCUGCAUUAUUUGACGUUACCUACAGAAGAAGCACCGGCUAACUCCGUGCCAGCAGCCGCGGUAAUACGGAGGGUGCGAGCGUUAAUCGGAAUUACUGGGCGUAAAGCGCAUGCAGGCGGCCUGUUAAGUCAGAUGUGAAAGCCCGGGGCUUAACCUCGGAAUUGCAUUUGAAACUGGCAGGCUAGAGUCUUGUAGAGGGGGUAGAAUUUCAGGUGUAGCGGUGAAAUGCGUAGAGAUCUGAAGGAAUACCAGUGGCGAAGGCGGCCCCCUGGACAGAUACUGACACUCAGAUGCGAAAGCGUGGGGAGCAAACAGGAUUAGAUACCCUGGUAG
rnacentral:rRNA from 1 species